rnacentral:lncRNA from 1 species
CAGAGCAAACAGGUUUGCACGAACGCUAUGAGGUCAAGCGGUGCAGCUGUUUUCACAAGAAAGAAUCCAUUUCCUCCGGAUCCCCCUUUGCCCAGGAGCCACUACAGUCCAUCUAGAUCCAGAAAAACCCCAAAGCAACAAAAAAGACUGGCCUUGAGUCCUGUCCGGUUUACUGAGCCACCCAGUCCUUCAGAUCUUCCUACUCAGGCGUCACCUUUGAGGACAGAGGACCAGGUCCUCCAUGAAAGUGUCCUGCUCUGUCCCCCUUCUACUGAAUGCCAGCUGAGCUACUCCGAGUCUUGGCCUUCUACUGACCUGAGUUGCUCUACAGACAACAAUAACACUUCUGUCUGCUCUGAAGUUCAGAUGCAAGCCAUGAGAAACAUGGUUGCACCAACAAUAAUUGAGGCAAAGGAACCCUCAGUUCUUGCAAAGUACAUUGAACGCUUCCGUUUCGGAAAGCCACAGAGUCCAGACGAAAGACGACUUCAGGCAGCUGUUGCAGAAGAUGACCAGCCGUUUUGGUGGAUGUCCACAUCGCCUGCAUCCAGUUCAACACCAACACACCCAUCAGAGAAAUAUAUCAGAGCACCACUUGACCUCAUGAAGGAUGACCCGGCCAGCACUCAGAGCCCAAUCACAAAGCUACAGCAUGAUGAAACCACGCUGUCUCCAGCUAGACACAUGCUCGACCUUAGUAUGCUGAUGCAGCAGAAUUUUGUUCAUGAAAUAAAAAAAGGAAGACAAUUGCCUUGUCCAAAUACCCACACUUGCGGUCUUGGCCACUUGAGAGCACGUGGGCGAGACAGGAAACAUUAUCUGAAUCAUCCCACUGUGAUCAAGAAGAACCAGAGAUACUGCAGCUGCAGGAGCGAGCCAGCCGUUUACUGCAGAGGAGUGGGCAUUCGCUCAGCAGUGGCUCCAUGCCUAUCAGCUCUGAGGGUCUGGGCUGCUCUGAUUUCUCCUCUCCCGUAA